UACGUAGGGUGCAAGCGUUAAUCGGAAUUACUGGGCGUAAAGCGUGCGCAGGCGGUUGUGCAAGACCGAUGUGAAAUCCCCGGGCUUAACCUGGGAAUGGCAUUGGUGACUGCACGGCUAGAGUGUGUCAGAGGGGGGUAGAAUUCCACGUGUAGCAGUGAAAUGCGUAGAGAUGAGGAGGAAUACCGAUGGCGAAGGCAGCCCCCUGGGAUAACACUGACGCUCAUGCACGAAAGCGUGGGGAGCAAACAGG
rnacentral:rRNA from 1 species